CCCUUAGAUGUUCUGGGCCGCACGCGCGCUACACUGACGAAGUCAGCGAGCAUCUCCUACGCCGAAAGGUGCGGGGAAUCUUGUGAAACUUUGUCGUGCUGGGGAUUGAUUUUUGAAAUUCUUGAUCAUAAACGAGGAAUUCCUAGUAAGCGCAAGUCAGCAGCUUGCGUUGAUUACGUCCCUGCCCUUUGUACACACCGCCCGUCGCUACUACCGAUUGAAUGGUUUAGUGAGAUGUUUGGACCGGAACUCUCUUGCUCAGCAAUGGGCGAGAGAGAGUCUGGGAAGUCCCUCUAACUGUAUCAUUUAGGGGAAGUAAAAGUCGUAACA
rnacentral:rRNA from 1 species